rnacentral:rRNA from 1 species
UACGUAGGGGGCAAGCGUUGUCCGGAAUCAUUGGGCGUAAAGCGCGUGUAGGCGGCUCGAUAAGUCUGCUGUGAAAGUUCAGGGCUCAACCCUGAAAUGCCGGUGGAAACUGUCGGGCUAGAGUCCGGAAGAGGCGAGUGGAAUUCCUGGUGUAGCGGUGAAAUGCGCAGAUAUCAGGAGGAACACCAAUGGCGAAAGGCAGCUCGCUGGGACGGUACUGACGCUGGAGACGCGAAAGCGUGGGGAGCAAACAGG